rnacentral:lncRNA from 1 species
UUCACUAGAAACAUGCCAAUAUUGCUGCAGACCAAAAGAAAGGAGGCAGGACAUAAUUGUUCACUAAAAACAGGCCAAUAUUGCUGCAGACCAAAGGAAGGGAUUUGUAGGAUAGCUUUUGAUGGUUGCGAACUGUCACAAGAACGUAAUUGUUUUGAACUCCAUUUUAUUUCAUUGGUGUAAUCGUUUAAAGUUGAUGAUAUACAUGUUGUUGUUGUAACCAUUUAUUUUGGAAUUUUGUCUUAAAUGUUUGAGAAGAUAAAGUAAAAUGUUUUCUCUUUUGGAAUUGCAUCAGGCACUGGCAGUACUGAAAUAUUGAAA